CAGUCGCCACGGGAAUACGUAGGUGGCAAGCGUUGUCCGGAAUUAUUGGGCGUAAAGCGCGCGCAGGUGGUUUAAUAAGUCUGAUGUGAAAGCCCACGGCUCAACCGUGGAGGGUCAUUGGAAACUGUUAAACUUGAGUGCAGGAGAGAAAAGUGGAAUUCCUAGUGUAGCGGUGAAAUGCGUAGAGAUUAGGAGGAACACCAGUGGCGAAGGCGGCUUUUUGGCCUGUAACUGACACUGAGGCGCGAAAGCGUGGGGAGCAAACAGGAUUAGAUACCCGAGUAGUCCCUGUCUCUUAUAC
rnacentral:rRNA from 1 species